GGGCGGGUAGUCUAGCCUGGUAUGAUUCUGGGUUUGGGACCCAGAGAUCGUGGGUUCGAAUCCCAUCCCGCCCA
rnacentral:tRNA from 1 species